CCUACGGGUGGCAGCAGUGAGGGAUAUUGGUCAAUGGGGGAAACCCUGAACCAGCAACGCCGCGUGAGGGCAGACGGUUUUCGGAUUGUAAACCUCUGUCCUCUGUGAAGAUAAUGACGGUAGCAGAGGAGGAAGCUCCGGCUAACUACGUGCCAGCAGCCGCGGUAAUACGUAGGGGGCAAGCGUUGUCCGGAUUUACUGGGUGUAAAGGGCGUGUAGCCGGGAAAGCAAGUCAGAUGUGAAAUCCGGAGGCUCAACCUCCGAAUUGCAUUUGAAACUGUUUUGCUGGAGUACUGGAGAGGCAGACGGAAUUCCUUGUGUAGCGGUGAAAUGCGUAGAUAUAAGGAGGAACACCAGUGGCGAAGGCGGUCUGCUGGACAGCAACUGACGGUGAGGCGCGAAAGCGUGGGGAGCAAACAGGAUUAGAUACCCCUGUAGUC
rnacentral:rRNA from 1 species